GCCAUGCUAGCCUAGUGGUCAUGGUCGCGGACUUGCGUUUCGUCGGGUUGUGGGUUCGAGAUCUGUCACUAAAGACCCACCGCGUAGCCGAGGCU